rnacentral:lncRNA from 1 species
ACUACGGGAGGAGGGGGGUAUUUGAGACUGAUUUUGUGGUAUUUUUCGACCGAAAAGUGCUAAUCUUUUUUGCUCACGGCAUUCUUUGGAAUGUGUAGAUUGUGGAACAAGUGCUGAAAUAUGCUUAUCUAUUGUAAUUUGGCUACGUUAGCCUUAGACAUGUUGCACUGUUGACGCUGAUGAAGAAUAGGCGGCACCAAAGCUUUAAAGACUAGUAUCUUUUGAAAUUGAAAUUUGCCUCUCAGUCUCUCAAGAAUCAAGAUGCCAAAUAGAUGUGCAGGAUUUGAUUGCUGACAAACCAGGGAUGAGGCUCAAGAGUCAAGAGAUCACCCUGCAUUGGCAAGUGGCUGGAACAACCCCAGUGCCGCACAGUUCUGCGGGAUAUUCCGGCACCUGCUCCACCGCUGCGGCGUCCGGCCCGGCAGCACAGGGAAAGUGGCAGCCCUCGACCCGACCAGCAUCCUGGCAGUCGGUCACACGACCAGCGGACGGGGAGCCAGCCUUACUACCUCGGCCUCCACCACCUCAGACAACGGUGCCACGGCACUCCACAUCAUCACGGAGCACGACUUCCAGCCUGGGCUGUCGUCUGGUGGGCAACAUCGUCACCUACAUCGCAGGGUUCGUGGUGAAGAAGGCGCUCGACUCUGUCAGCUGUAGCACCUGUCAGGAGGCCCUGGUGAGCGACAUCCAGCCGGAUGACAUGACACAGCUUUACCACCUCUUCAUCAUCUCUGCCAGAUGAGCUAAGGUGGGGACGGGUUACAUGCCUGGGAUCUGACUGAGACCCGCUCAUACCCUGCCGAAGUGUUGGUGAUUUCAGCGGUCAGCUGUCUCUAGCCGGUGUCAGUGAGUGGCGGCCAGCUGCCGCUGGAGUGGGUAUCUACCGUCGAUAGCUGUUGUGUGGCGGAUAGCGUGGAUUUGGAUGGACACUUCAUAUUAAUGAACAGAUCAAUGUCUGGCCGAUAAAAGACGUAUUUUGUCGAUGAUUGCUUAGUGACUGAGUGGGUCCACUGGCGACCAAUGCAGUGGGCGCUGGGUUAACGCCUCGCCUCUUGUGACCGUGUCAAUAUGUAGCACUGUUAAUUGCCGAUUCGUUGCCGGCCGUCUCUGCUCCGUGGCUGGCUGAUCCGGCACAAACUGGUGUUCGUGGCUGAAGGCGCGGCUACAGUUACAUAGCUCGCCACGUGCCUGUGCGACUAUCGUCGGUGCUGUCUGCAAGGGCGAUGUUGGUGCCUGUAGGGGGCGCGGAUUGAUUCAAAGUGAGGAAUGGGUCAUCGGAGCUCGGGUCAGGUCAUGUUCGGCUAAAAUAAGCGGAUUUUGCGAUUUGCCGCAUCCGGGUGAAUUUCCUUGCCUUCUAGUGCAUGUUUAUGCAUUUUACAUGCGUUUUUUUAGUGUUGAUGUCUAGAUAACGUGCAUUUGCCUCGAGGUCAAGGCUGCGCUUCAUAUGGGCAGUUUUCGGAGCAUCUUGCUCAUUUUAUUCGUAAUUCUUAAUUGUUUGCGGAUUUGUGCCCGCAAAUCAUUUUUUAAAGUAAGAUUGACACGGGAUUCGAGAUCGGCGCCAAUAAAUACACUUCACAUGACCCGCCAUGUGUCAAGGCCAUCCGAGGUCAUCUAAGGUCGCUGACCUUGUAUGACCUUAUGUGACCCGGUUCGCUAGAUUUCGAGAUGAGGUUGAUUGGGAAUGAUGUAACCCAUUUCGCCGACAGUUCACGCGUUUUGGUCGAUUUUAUAGCGAAAGAUCUCAAACUCCA